rnacentral:rRNA from 1 species
UCUUGGUCAUUUAGAGGAAGUAAAAGUCGUAACGAGGUCUCCGUUGGUGAACCAGCGGAGGGAUCAUUACCGAGUACUAUAACUCAUAACCCUUUGUGAACCUUCAUACCUGUUGCUUCGGCGGCGCGCCUCUCGGGGCGUGCCCGCCGGCAUUAUCAGAAUCUCUGUUCGAACCCGACGAUACUUCUGAGUGUUCUAAGCGAACUGUUAAAACUUUCAACAACGGAUCUCUUGGCUCCAGCAUCGAUGAAGAACGCAGCGAAACGCGAUAUGUAAUGUGAAUUGCAGAAUUCAGUGAAUCAUCGAAUCUUUGAACGCACAUGGCGCCUUCCAGUAUCCUGGGAGGCAUGCCUGUCCGAGCGUCGUUUCAACCCUCGAGCCCCCGUGGCCCGGCGUUGGGGACCUGCCCAGGCAGUCCCCGAAAACCAGUGGCGGACCCGACGGGCCCUUCCUUUGCGUAGUAACAUCUGCCUCGCAUCGGGAGCCCCCGGGCUAUCCGGCCUCUAAACCCCCCUCAAGCCCGCUCCGGCGGCACCAAGGUUGACCUCGGAUCAGGUAGGAAUACCCGCUGAACUUAAGCAUAUCAAUAAGCGGAGGAA